GGGAGGCGCGAGGGAGCCGCCCCCGCGGUCUGCGCGCUUGCCCGGCGGCUCCUGAGUCCGCGUUCCAAGUGGAACCGGAGCCCGGGCGCGGGCGCCCACGUUCCAUGCCUGGGAAGGGAGAGAAUCGCUCACUCGCCAGCCCGCCUGCAGGGAAAGGGCUUCUGGAGCUGUCGAUGCCUGCCCGACGCUGAGAUAACUCUUGGGUCCCCGUUAACCACCAGCCACUUCUGCCUCGAUUCACCAAAGUGCAGGGAAAGAACCUUUUGGUGAGAUGGUGUGAAUUAGCGACAUCCAGCCUGAGCUGAAGUCUCCAGCGGGGCAAAGAAAUCUUUCCAUUUGCAAACUACCAAGGCUGACUUGCUGUGCAUUUGGCGGGCCUCCUGCCCGUGAUUCUGCUGGUUUGGAGAUGCUUUCUCGAUCUUUGGUUGGCUUCUGGCUCCACACAUUGUGUGGAUCCCAGGGAUUCGUCAUAGGACUCUCGGAUCGCUGGUGCCUCCACCGUUAUCUCCGGUCUCCCUGCGGCCAGCACUGACUUCUAGCAACAGAAUCCUGCAUGAGGGCCUAGGCACAGAACUUUUUUUCCACUCUUCUGAACACAUCUAACGUGAUGCUCUGCAAUUGUCUGAAAUUUAUCCUACCCUAAGUCAUUGUCUUGUCCCCUUCUCUGGAACCUGCUUCACUUCCCGUAUCCCAAGGGAAAAGCAUGAAUGCAGUAUGCUACUACCACAAAUUACGCAGUUGAGUUUCCCACAUUUGGAGAAAUCACAGGGAUCAGCAAGUCUUCAGUGGAAUAGAGAAGCCUUGCCCUAGGAAAAACUACCCUUGUGGUCAUGGUAUCUACCCUUCCUGGUGAAGAAGGUCCUUGCUUCCCCUUCUCCUUCCACCAUGAUUGUAAGUUUCCUGAGGCCUCCCCAGCCAUGUAGAACUGAUUUUUAUAAAUCUUGACCUUCAUAUUAUUGUACCAUUCAUGAUUUUGUGGUUUCAAAGGUGGCUUUUCUUUUCCUAAUUAUUUAUUUAAAUCUUUAAUUCCUCCUGUGAAUUCUGCCAGCUCACUUUUCAUUUUUCCAUGGUCAUGUAUUUUAUUUUAUAUUUUUCAUUAUUUUUUAAAGUUAAAAUUAUUUUUAAUGGAUUUCUGUUCCUGGCUCUGAUGGAGCAACAGGGACCCUCUUACUUUAAAAAAAAUAGACAAAAUUUAUAAAGGAUGGUUCUCAAACACAGGACAACAGGCAGUAUAAACAGUAAUUUUUCAAAGAAGAUAAACAAAGGAAGUAAACCCUAUGGUUUCUCCACCGAUUCCCUAGAGAGAGAUUCCAAGCUAUCAGUCUCACUCAAUUGAGAAGACAGAGUUCACUGAGAAUUUGGGGAAAGUCAAAGUGGACAGAAUUCACAAAGAACUAAAAAAAAGAGUAUUGUGCAGAGAAAGAGCUCCAGCUACCUCCAGAGAGUUUCCCUUGAGUUUUCAGAGCAUGCGUUUGGGGAACCCACCUGAGGCAAGGGAAAGAACUACCAGAAAGAAACAGGUGGAAAAAUUCCUGAUGUUCACAUAGACUGGGAAAUUUCUCAAGUUUUUGUCAUCUGAAGUGAAGAAAUCUUACACUGUAUGAGGUGUUGAAGAGAAUACUUAGAAGGACAAUGCCUCCAUAGUAGGACCAAACUAGCCUAGAGUAAAGGCUGGUCUGUCUUGUAUGACUCCUUGUGAAACUGUUCUGCUGAGUAUGUCACCAAUUUUCUAAGCGAAUCUAAGUGAUUCCAAGUAAUAAGUUGAAAUUCUCACUAUUCGUAUGUUUUUAUUAAUUAUUCAUUGUGGUUGUAAUAGUUUUUGGUUUAUAAUAUUUUGUUGGUCUGUUAUUUGCUGCAUAGUGGUUUAUGAUAGUUAUAUCUUUAUUGGAUCUUUAACAAUGUAGAAUAAGUUCUUUGUUUCAUUUCAUGUUAUUUGUUUUUAAAUUUUACUUCUUAUUUAACAGUAAUGUUGCAAAUCUUUAAAAAUGUUUUACUUUAUUUGUAAGGAAAACACCUAAAGCAAAGUGAAACAAAAAAUGAUGUAGGAUCUAUUAUUAUUAUUUUCCAUCAUGUGAAUCUUUGUCUUAACAGAGAGGCUUCUUCUAUUUAUAUUUGUUGUUACAAUUGAUUUCUUUCAUCAUUCUGUUAUUUCAGUGUUUUCUCUUUAAAAAUAUGUUCUUGUUAUUCAAUGAUUUAGUUUUCGCUUUAUGUACCAUUUUCUUUAUUUUGUCCUUCAUAUUUUGCAAGCUAUAUGGCCUCUGUUAAACUCUAUUAAUGGAUAUCUUUAAGCAUUCUUUGACAUGUAAUUUUCUAAUGUCCCAGUAAAUAAAGAAUGUGUCAAC